AGUCGACGAAGCACUGUAAACGGAGAUUCGUCGAAGUUUACUUUGACUUAGUGGCGGACGGGUGAGUAAUGUAUGAGCAACCUGCCUUUCAGUGGGGGACAACAGUUGGAAACGACUGCUAAUACCGCAUGAUGUCAAUUGGGGGCAUCCCCGAAUGACCAAAGGAUUUAUUCGCUGAAAGAUGGGCUCAUAUCUGAUUAGCUAGUUGGUGAGGUAACGGCUCACCAAGGCUGCGAUCAGUAGCCGGACUGAGAGGUUGAACGGCCACAUUGGGACUGAGAUACGGCCCAGACUCCUACGGGAGGCAGCAGUGGGGAAUAUUGGGCAAUGGGCGAAAGCCUGACCCAGCAACGCCGCGUGAAGGAAGAAGGUCUUCGGAUUGUAAACUUCUUUUAUGAGGGACGAAGGACGUGACGGUACCUCAUGAAUAAGCCACGGCUAACUACGUGCCAGCAGCCGCGGUAGUACGUAGGUGGCAAGCGUUAUCCGGAUUUACUGGGUGUAAAGGGCGCGUAGGCGGGGAUGCAAGUCAGAUGUGAAAUCUAUGGGCUUAACCCAUAAACUGCAUUUGAAACUGUAUCUCUUGAGUGCUGGAGAGGUAGACGGAAUUCCUUGUGUAGCGGUGAAAUGCGUAGAUAUAAGGAAGAACACCAGUGGCGAAAGGCGGUCUACUGGACAGUAACUGACGCU
rnacentral:rRNA from 1 species